rnacentral:rRNA from 1 species
AUUGAACGCUGGCGGCAGGCCUAACACAUGCAAGUCGAGCGAGCGGCGGACGGGUGAGUAAUGUCUGGGAAACUGCCUGAUGGAGGGGGAUAACUGCUGGAAACGGUAGCUAAUACCGCAAACCAUCAGAUCGGCCCAGGUGGGAUUAGCUAGUCGGUGGGGUAAUGGCUCACCAAGGCGACGAUCCCUAGCUGGUCUGAGAGGAUGACCAGCCACACUGGAACUGAGACACGGCCCAGACUCCUACGGGAGGCAGCAGUGGGGAAUAUUGCACAAUGGGCGCAAGCCUGAUGCAGCCAUGCCGCGUGUGUGAAGAAGGCCUUCGGGUCGUAAAGCACUGUCAGCGGGGAGGCGUUACUCGCAGAAGAAGCACCGGCUAACUCCGUGCCAGCAGCCGCGGUAAUUC